GACGAACGCUGGCGGCGUGCUUAACACAUGCAAGUCGAACGGUAAGGCCCUUCGGGGUACACGAGUGGCGAACGGGUGAGUAACACGUGGGCAACCUGCCUCAUAGAGGGGAAUAGCCUCCCGAAAGGGAGAUUAAUACCGCAUAAAAUUAUCGAGUGGCAUCACAUGAUAAUCAAAGGAGUAAUCCGCUAUGAGAUGGGCCCGCGGCGAAUUAGCUAGUUGGUGAGGUAACGGCUCACCAAGGCGACGAUGCGUAACCGACCUGAGAGGGUGAUCGGCGACAUGGGGACUGAGACACGGCCCAGACUCCUACGGGAGGCAGCAGUGGGGAAUAUUGCACAAUGGGGGAAACCCGGAUGCAGCAACGCCGCGUGAGUGAUGAAGGUCUUCGGAUUGUAAAGCUCUGUCUUUGGGGACGAUAAUGACGGUACCCAAGGAGGAAGCCACGGCUAACUACGUGCCAGCAGCCGCCGUAA
rnacentral:rRNA from 1 species